AGCUUAUUAAUUACCUAAGAAUGAAAUAAACUGCUACUACUAAUAAAAAUAACAAAAAGAUGCAGCUUAUAAAGGAUUCAAAGAAGCAACUUGAUUUGCUUUUUGGAUUCAAAAAAAUUCACAAAUUUGAAGUUUCUAACAGUAUGGGGUUCUCCAAAAUUGGAUAUUGAAAAAAGUAAAAGGGAGAAAUUAUGCCUGAUCGGAGAGAAAAAGUUUUCAGCUUUCAAUUCCAAAUUUCGGACUCUUUUGAUUUUUUUUUUUUUUUUUGCG
rnacentral:lncRNA from 1 species